rnacentral:tRNA from 1 species
UCUCGCGGUGGGCGAGGGCGCCGAUGACGUCGUCGGCCUCGUAGCCCGCCGCCUCGCCGGUGCAGAUGCCGGCCGCGUCGA